rnacentral:RNase_P_RNA from 2 species
CAAGUAUCCUAUGCAACUGCUGCAGGGGUAAAAUAUCCCUGUAGAGGAAAGUCCGGACUUCAUGUCGGUCACGAACAUAUUUCGUGAUAGGCGCCGAUGAAAGUCGGGAGGGAGUGAUCUCUCGGAGAAAAGGGCAACAGAAAAUAUACCGCCCCACUAACUUAUAGUUAGAGGAGUAAGGGUGAAAAGGCAGUGUAAGAGACUACCAGUAUAUGUAGUAAUGCAUAUAGCUUUGUAACCCCCGUUUGAAGCAAGGUGAUAUUAACACACCGCAUAGAUAGAUAGUUGCAUAUAACAGAAUUCGGCUUAUGGGAUGCUUGUGCA